GCACUGCUGACAAGUCUCAAACAGGACGAAACAGCUGUCCAGUGC
rnacentral:hammerhead_ribozyme from 1 species